UAGUGAUAAAAACAUAGCCUAUUCGGAU
rnacentral:piRNA from 1 species